GAUGAACGCUGGCGGCGUGCCUAAUACAUGCAAGUCGAGCGAACGGACGAGAAGCUUGCUUCUCUGAUGUUAGCGGCGGACGGGUGAGUAACACGUGGAUAACCUACCUAUAAGACUGGGAUAACUUCGGGAAACCGUAGCUAAUACCGGGUAAUAUUUUGAACCGCAUGGUUCAAAAGUGAAAGACGGUCUUGCUGUCACUUAUAGAUGGAUCCGCGCUGCAUUAGCUAGUUGGUAAGGUAACGGCUUACCAAGGCAACGAUGCAUAGCCGACCUGAGAGGGUGAUCGGCCACACUGGAACUGAGACACGGUCCAGACUCCUACGGGAGGCAGCAGUAGGGAAUCUUCCGCAAUGGGCGAAAGCCUGACGGAGCAACGCCGCGUGAGUGAUGAAGGUCUUCGGAUCGUAAAACUCUGUUAUUAGGGAAGAACAUAUGUGUAAGUAACUGUGCACAUCUUGACGGUACCUAAUCAGAAAGCCACGGCUAACUACGG
rnacentral:rRNA from 1 species